CUUUUCUCUCCCUGGGUCUGUGUCCCCGUCGCUACAUCCCAGCCUGGAGGGCAUGGCCCAGCGGUUGCAUAGGUCCCUCGGUUUCUGCAGAGCCCGGGAGUCACCCUAUUUUGGUAAAGGUGAAUUGCUCCUCCAUGGGUCGUGAAAGAAGAUCAUGUCAGUGGUGGUGUUUCUGCUCGUCUCAGAAGGGAAGUCUGUGACCCGUGGGAGUUGCUGGGGAGGGCCUGGUCUGGGCCAGGCCUCUUCUUUGGGUUGCCCCCUCACACACUCUGGUCAUCCAGGAAGCCUCUGUGGCCCUCGGAAUGUGUAAAAGAUGGUGGUUUUAGGAGCUGCUGGUUUUGCAACUGAGUGCUGACGGCUUAUUUCUUGUUAAUGAUUCUGUCAAAAGUGUCUUAGCGAUGCUCUUCAGCCCUUCAUCACCCACCCAAAAAAGAUUAAAGUGGAUUCUUCAUCAGCUAUUUUAAAAUCACCUAAGAAUUAUACAAUCCUUUGGAGAAUCAAA
rnacentral:lncRNA from 1 species